rnacentral:sRNA from 1 species
UUGCCUGUGAGUUCUGCCCAUCAUCCCUAGGACAGGUAAACUUUGGGUGACAGUUCUGUCAGCUUUCCAGUUGCUGCCCCAACACUGGAUUUCAACCCUGUCCUGGAGGGAUCACUGCUAAGAGUGAGAGGGUAGCUCAUAUUCCAAGACUAUUCCACU